AACGAACGCUGGCGGCAUGCCUAACACAUGCAAGUCGAACGAGACCUUCGGGUCUAGUGGCGCACGGGUGCGUAACGCGUGGGAACCUGCCCUUAGGUUCGGAAUAACUCCCCGAAAGGGGUGCUAAUACCGGAUAAUGUCUUCGGACCAAAGAUUUAUCGCCUUUGGAUGGGCCCGCGUUGGAUUAGCUAGUUGGUAGGGUAAAAGCCUACCAAGGCGACGAUCCAUAGCUGGUCUGAGAGGAUGAUCAGCCACACUGGGACUGAGACACGGCCCAGACUCCUACGGGAGGCAGCAGUGGGGAAUAUUGGACAAUGGGCGAAAGCCUGAUCCAGCAAUGCCGCGUGAGUGAUGAAGGCCUUAGGGUUGUAAAGCUCUCUUUCCCGGGAUGAUAAUGACAGUACCGGGAGAAUAAGCACCGGCUAACUCCGUG
rnacentral:rRNA from 1 species